GACUCGGUUGGGCGGUCCGCUUAACGGCGUGUACUGUCUGACUGGGCCUUACCUCUUGGUGAGCCAGUGUGCCCUUUAUUGGUGUGCAUUGGGGAACCAGGACUUUUACCUUGAGAAAAUUAGAGUGCUCCAUACAGGCAUUUGCUUGAAUACAUUAGCAUGGAAUAACGGAAUAGGACU
rnacentral:rRNA from 1 species